GAUGAAGAACGUAGCGUAAUGCGAUACGUAAUGUGAAUUGCAGAAUUCAGUGAAUCAUCGAGUCUUUGAACGCACAUUGCGCCCCCUGGUAUUCCGGGGGGCAUGCCUGUCCGAGCGUCAUUGCUGCCCUCAAGCACGGCUUGUGUGUUGGGCCUCCGUCCUCCUCCCGGGGGACGGGCCCGAAAGGCAGCGGCGGCACCGCGUCCGGUCCUCGAGCGUAUGGGGCUUCGUCACCCGCUCUUGUAGGCCCGGCCGGCGCUUGCCGACACAUCAAUCUUUUUUCCAGGUUGACCUCGGAUCAGGUAGGGAUACCCGCUGAACUUAAGCAUAUCAAUAAGCGGAGGA
rnacentral:misc_RNA from 1 species